rnacentral:rRNA from 1 species
GACGAACGCUGGCGGCGUGCCUAAUACAUGCAAGUCGAACGCACUCUCGUUUAGAUUGAAGGAGCUUGCUCCUGAUUGAUAAACAUUUGAGUGAGUGGCGGACGGGUGAGUAACACGUGGGUAACCUGCCCUAAAGUGGGGGAUAACAUUUGGAAACAGAUGCUAAUACCGCAUAAAACCUAACACCGCAUGGUGUAGGGUUGAAAGAUGGUUUCGGCUAUCACUUUAGGAUGGACCCGCGGUGCAUUAGUUAGUUGGUGAGGUAAAGGCUCACCAAGACCGUGAUGCAUAGCCGACCUGAGAGGGUAAUCGGCCACACUGGGACUGAGACACGGCCCAGACUCCUACGGGAGGCAGCAGUAGGGAAUCUUCCACAAUGGACGAAAGUCUGAUGGAGCAACGCCGCGUGAGUCGAAGAAGGUUUCGGAUCGUAAAACUCUAGUUGUUGGAGAAGAAUGUAUCUGAUAGUAACUGAUCAGGUAGUGACGGUAU